UGAUAGUAUGCGUCCAUGCACGAGCGCC
rnacentral:sRNA from 1 species